rnacentral:rRNA from 1 species
UGAGUAACACGUAUGCAACCUGCCUGCCACAGCCGGAUAAUCGGGAGAAAUUCCGUCUAAUACGGCAUAAAUGCAUCGACGGGACAUCCUGUUGGUGCCAAAGGUUAAUUCCGGUGGCGGAUGGGCAUGCGUCGCAUUAGUUAGUUGGCGGUGUAACGGACCACCAAGACGACGAUGCGUAGGGGUUCUGAGAGGAAGGUCCCCCACACUGGUACUGAGACACGGACCAGACUCCUACGGGAGGCAGCAG